rnacentral:ribozyme from 13 species
UUUUUUUUUUUUUUUUUUUUUUUUUUUUUCUUCCGU